rnacentral:lncRNA from 1 species
AAAGUUUAUACAUUGUUACUCCGCUGUGCAAUCUUUUCCUUUGUUUAUGAACCUCAUAUUCGAAUAUGACUUAGCAAAUAAAAGACUUAUAAUGGAUCAAACAAGCAAAGAAAUUAAUAUGUAAGCAUUCGUAUCCAGUUGGGUCAAGAGACCAGGAACGGGUCUUACACAAGCAUUGUGGAAUCAAUCCGUUCUAUUCUCGGUUAUGAUUAAUGCUUAUCUGGUUGUGGUUUCAGGAACUAAGGAUGGUUCUGGUCAAGCGAAGGAGCCGUGAAGGCUCGGUCAGUGAGAGGCUGUGUAACGUGUGGUUAGAUGAUGCUAGGGAUGAACUAGUGAUUGUCUAUGAGACUGUUAAGAAGUUGUGUAUUGAAUCUCAUGUUUCUAAGUAAUACAAAGUUUAUACAUUGUUAUUCCGCUGUGCAAUCUGUUCCUUUGUUUAUGAACCUCAUAUUCGAAUAUGACUUAGUAAAUAAAAGACUUAAAAUGGAUCAAACAAGCAAAGAAAUUAAUAAGUAAGCCUGCAGACUCCAUAAGGUCGAGAGGCCAGGGUUCGGGUCUUACAAGUUGGUAUCAGAGCAUGCUUGAUUCUAGGAUAGUUGGGUUAUGCAGUCCACACACACACACGCAGCCAGCUGAUUAGGUGUCACGGUGAGGUUUGAUUGCUUAGUCUAGGGAUUGUUUGUUCUGUUUAUGUUAGUGUGUUUCGUACUAACAUUGUCUGAAUCCUUAGGCUGGAAAAAGCAAGUCGGGAAAGUCCCGAAGGAGUAAGAAAACAGCCGGUCAGUCUAGUCAAGUGGCCAUGGACGGGACCAAUCUAUCCGGCCGCGGCUGACACUAGAGACGUGUUGCCAACUGAUCAGGCUAACCUUACGGGGACGCAACAGGAUGGUCAGGAACAUCGGGAGAGUGAUGAGGAAGUGGAAUCCUCGAAUGCUAACCGUGAU